rnacentral:tRNA from 1 species
GCUGAUGUAGCUCAGUUGGCUAGAGCAGCUGAUUUGUAAUCAGCAGGUCGGGGGUUCGAGUCCCUUUAUCAGCU